rnacentral:rRNA from 1 species
UACGUAGGGUGCGAGCGUUAAUCGGAAUUACUGGGCGUAAAGCGUGCGCAGGCGGUUCGCUGUGUCCUGUGUGAAAGCCCCGGGCUUAACCUGGGAAUGGCAUGGGAAACUGGCGGGCUGGAGUGUGGCAGAGGGGGGUGGAAUUCCGCGUGUAGCAGUGAAAUGCGUAGAUAUCAGGAGGAACACCGGUGGUGUAGACGGCUCUCUGGACCAUAACUGACGCUGAGACACGAAAGCGUGGGUAGCAAACAGG